rnacentral:lncRNA from 1 species
CGGGAGGGGCGGCCCCGGUAAAGGGAGAGACGGCGCUGCCGCCGCUCCGCGCCUUGCUCGGGGCACGGAGUUGAUGAUUAACCUGCGGUUCACUGAAUACCUACCUGGCUCAAGUCGCGCCCGGGAUGUGGUUUAACCUUGUCCGAGGUUUCGGUACCUCGGGUUUUGCCUUUCUGCCCGAGACCCUGGUGCUGCUUUUGCUGCUACCGAAGCGCUGCGGGGAUGUGCAGCUCCCCUUUGAAAAUCUCUGCUGUUAAUAUCAGCCUAGACUUCGCUUUACAGUCGUUUUUAGAGGUUUGAGGCUCCAGAGGUCGAGGUGAUGUGGGACUCUCGGUCUCGGCGAGCAUUUUUGCAGCAGCAGCAGCCUCGGGCUGCAGUAGCUGGCACUUGAAUCCAUGUUGGCUCCUUUUCCUCGGGCGUGAGCUGCAAGGAGCUCAGCAGCUUCGGCAUUUAGUCCCAUUUGGGGAAACAUCUGUCCUUUGUGAGGAUGCCAGUACAGUUAUAGCCACUGACACUAUACAUGACCAGAGGCUCCAGUUUCUGGCAUCUCUUUCUAUUCAAUUUCUUCAGAUUAUCUGUAAAUUUUCAAUAAUGGCAAUACAUUCAUUCUGCCAUUUGGAGGAGCCUGUGCCACAGAAUAAUGAUCUGAAGAAAGCUCACUUAUUUGCAAGGAAGAGUCUUCAUUUGGGAAUUAGCACCGAUGCAGCUAAGAGGUGCUUCCUCAAGUUCAGCAGAACUGUUAUUGUUUCACCUCUGGUACAUGGACAAAACUGGGUUUUCUUCAUAGUUCAGGAUUCCUGUACCUGAAGAGUAAGAAGAGACAUUGUCUUUCAUUGCAACUUGCUGUGGACUAACUUCCUACUGUAUCAUUUAGUCCUGGAGACAUCAGUUGUAUAUGUUCCCACCCUCCAACCUUGUUUAUCUGCUUCACACAUAAAGGGUAAUGAAUAAAUACUUAUACCUCCUGGGGCA